rnacentral:rRNA from 1 species
CCUACGGGAGGCAGCAGUGAGGAAUAUUGGUCAAUGGACGAGAGUCUGAACCAGCCAAGUAGCGUGAAGGAUGACUGCCCUAUGGGUUGUAAACUUCUUUUAUAUGGGAAUAAAAUGUUCCACGUGUGGGCUUUUGUAUGUACCAUAUGAAUAAGGAUCGGCUAACUCCGUGCCAGCAGCCGCGGUAAUACGGAGGAUCCGAGCGUUAUCCGGAUUUAUUGGGUUUAAAGGGAGCGUAGGUGGAUUGUUAAGUCAGUUGUGAAAGUUUGCGGCUCAACCGUAAAAUUGCAGUUGAAACUGGCAGUCUUGAGUACAGUAGAGGUAGGCAGAAUUCGUGGUGUAGCGGUGAAAUGCUUAGAUAUCACGAAGAACUCCGAUUGCGAAGGCAGCUCACUGGACUGCAACUGACACUGAGGCUCGAAAGUGUGGGUAUCAAACAGGAUUAGAUACCCGAGUAGUC